CCUACGGGAGGCUGCAGUGAGGAAUAUUGGUCAAUGGUCGCAAGUCUGACCCAGCCAAGCCGCGUGAAGGAAGAAGGUUCUCAGAAUCGUAAACCUCUUUUGUCCGGGGGCAAAAACUGAUACGCGUCUCCGUAUGAGCGUAGCUUAAGAACAAGCAUCGGCUAACUCCGUGCCAGCAGCCGCGGUUAUACGGAGGAUUCAAGCGUUAUCCGGGUUUAAUGGGUUUAAAGGGUGCGCAGGCGGGCAGUUAAGUUAGCGGUGAAAUCCCGGGGCUCAACCUCGGGCCCGCCUUUGAAACGGGUUGUCUUGAGUGGGCGAGAGGUAUGCGGAAUGCGUGGUGUAGCGGUGAAAUGCGUAGAUAUCAGGCAGAACACCGAUUGCGAAGGCAGCAUACCGGAGCACAACUGACGCUGAGGCACGAAAGCGUGGGGAGCGAACAGGAUUAGAUACCCCAGUAGUA
rnacentral:rRNA from 1 species